GCGCACAGUGGUGGCCACCGCGACUGGUGCUGAAGUGUUGGCGCGUGCCGGGCGCUCCGCUGGGACCCGGGUUGCUGGCCCUGAGUCUCAGCUUUCUCAUCUGUACGGUUGGGACAAGUACAGUAACCCUCGCCCGUCAAGACGGGCCAGGGCUGUGGCGAGGGUCCACGCCUUAGAGCAGGCAGGAGUAGGGCUGAUUGGAGCCAUUGUACAGUGUCGGGAACAUACCAGGACACUGAGAAUAGUGUCAUGUCAUAAGGACCCAGAGCAGAUGGACCCUGCUGUGAUGCACAAAGAUAGCAGCAUUUUAAUCAUCUCUUCCAUUAAACCAAGAUUACACAAAAGCGUUUGAGGACACUGAGGACUGGGACUUCUAAUUUUGCUUCAGAAACCAGUACUCAAAAUGUCUGGUUUGGAGGAGCUGGGCUGCUUGGAUCAGAGGUUCCAUGGUCUGAACUACUCCACUCUGGUGAAGGUUUCUUCCCCAAAGCCACUCCUCAAGCUGACUUAUAUUGUACCUGAGUUGCAUGCCUGUGCUCCAAGAGCAGACGUCCUUCCGCAGGAGCAGGUCAUUAAGAGUCACUGCGUUGAUCAUGUAGAAGAGCUGUUUGAAUACCUGCAGGAUGAUCUCAGGGUCCAAGCCCUGGUCACACAUGACUGUAUGAAAGGCAUUCAUCUGGCGGAUGAUAGCUUCCAGGCGGUAUGAGUUAUCCCCAUCUGCCAUGCUGGAGGAGUGCUUCUGGGAGCCAGUGGGCUUCACACCAGAUAGACCCUGAAUGCUGUCAUUUUCCAACAUGGCAGAAACUAUCAUCGGCUGUAACACACCCUCGGCAAUUUUAAAGAGCUGCUGGUAGAUCUGAAUGGAAAGGUCGCUCAGUACCUGACGGUAUUCGGUGAGGUCAAAGUUCUUAAGGCAGUGUUCGUUGUGCUUUGCUGUAUUCUGAGUCAUGAAGCCCUCAUCCCCGCUGUACCGCUUCAGACAGUGAAGAAGGUGGCAGGUGUUGGAUAACAGGAAUGACGUCAUCUCAAAGUCAUCACUGUGCUUCUUCAGGACUUUCUUAAUGCCGUUGGUGGUGGAGGUCAUCAGGGAGUGCACCUUGAGAUCAUCGUUGGUUUGGUCCGCGAGCCGAAUGCACAUGUAGAGGAUGUAGGCGGAGAGACAGGGCACUGUGUCCAACAGCAUCUGGGGCUUCAAGUCUGUCACCAGGUUGAGGAUGAGGAGGGCCUCGCCCUCUUUGCGGCACUCCAACAUGCCCUGGAAAUCCUUUUCUUUCCACUGAACUGGGACCUGCCUGUUGAACUCAUGGCGCUUCCUCUCACUCUGGGCCAACGCCUGGGCAGCUUCUUCAUGUAAAUCUUCAGUUGCUUUUAGAGCUUCCUCUCAUUCUUUUCCUCUUACUUUAUUUUUCACCACAGAGCUUCCUAUCAACUAGUAUGUUGAAUAUUUUGCUUAUUAACUUUGUUUAUUGUCUUCUCCCUCGAUUAGAAUAUUAGCUACUUGAGUACAAGGAUUUGAGCCUGUUACAUUCACUGCUGAAUUUUAGGCUCCUGGAAGAUACCCAGCAUUCAAUAGAGACCACACAAUAAAUAUAUGUCAAAUAAA
ensembl:lncRNA LERFS lncRNA negative regulator of fibroblast-like synoviocyte migration, SYNCRIP interacting